CAGCUCAGUUUCAUUUCAUCUGGAUCAAUUUGGGUCCUCAAGUGGGCUCUCCAAUAACUGUUACAGAUCUUAUGGUCACAGGUUUUUAAGGACCAAAUUGCAAUGGUGCCAUCGUGCUCUGAAACACAACAAUUUCUUUAUUCUCAAGAUCUGAUCUUAUGGUCUCACUGGAUAAGUGGGAUGAGUUGGAGCAAUGAGCGCAAACAUUAAGCUGGACUUUUCAAUACAAUAGGAAACCACCAACUUGCACUGGUCUGUAGGACACUGUUUCCAGCAUGGUGUCCAACCUCUUUGCCAGAUGCCAUUCAAACAGAGAUGGUGUAAGGGACAUCAAGAUGGAAAAUCAUGCCUCAUGUAAAAGAAAAUCUAGGCCAGAAUGCCACCAUCAGAUUUCAUAGUUGUCCAAAACCAGACUGGUAUACCAAGUGGUCGAAUCUUUUAAACCGCAAAGGGUUCAAAUUCUUCAAGUCAACGGUUGUUUGCAGCAAUCAUUUUGAGUUUGGACAGCCUCGACUUAAUUCUCGCCACCCUUCUAAAUAUCUUAAGGGGUAUUCAAGUGGUCACAAAACAAGGAAGAGUCCCACCGAAAGACAGGAACAAUCCAAAAUUGCCUCUCAAGUGAGUCAAGCAGAAGAAAUUGUCCCUAAAGUGCAGAAUGUAGAAGAUGAAGAAUCUAAUUCAUUAACUCAAAAGGAACAGUACGAAUUAGAAUUACUCAAACUUAAAGAAGAAUUGAAAACAGUCAAGGACAGCUACAUGCAUAUUAUUAAAGAAAAAGACCAGCAAAUCGAAGAACUAAAGUCAAGAAUCAUUUUUGGUAUUGAUCCUAUUAAAGGUCGUGAUGAUCAGGCGAAAAUUUUCACUGGCCUACCAUCCUACUCACUUUUUAAAUGGGCGUUUGACGAGGUAAAAGAAGCAGCAAAUACAAUGAACUACUAUAGUUUAUGAUAAAAAUAAACCUGGUCCAAAGAGAAAAGUGACGUUGGAGAAUCAGCUUUUGAUAACACUAAUGAAACUUCGACAUAACUUAAAAAACAUCGAUUUCAUUGUUGCCAUGUUGAAACAAGGUUUAUUUGAACUGUACAUUACCUUAACUACAAGUUACACAAGAAAUAAAUUAAAAUACAUACAGUUGCUGGUCGCCCAAAAUAACUAAGGAGCUAAACUAAAUUGAGAAUUUGUCAUUAUGCACUCACUAAAAACACAAGAAAGGCAGCAGUGAGUACGCACGCUUUUAAACUUACGUUAGUCAAUGUAAACAACAACUUCUACACUUGAAAUAUUGGGAAGAUUAUCAAGUUUCGAUUUCCAUCCCAAGAGUAAUUUCUCUGGAUCUGGAAGCUUAAUGAUGCCAUUUUCUAUCCUUAAGAGAUUUUCAGUUGUCGUGAACAACGCUCGUUCUAAGCUCUUCUGGUGUCGGCCGAGGAGGAAAAGCCAAAUUCUUUGCUGCUUGAGCUAUUAUUAUUCGCUCAUUUUUUCUUCUGUCGUGAAAGGGAAUACCUCGUCUUUGAAGAAAAGCACCCAGUUCAUCAUUUUUCACUUGAGAAAAGUUUUUAUCCAUGAUAAAAAACGCAGUUGUGAAACUUUUCCCUUUCCGCAUUCA
rnacentral:misc_RNA from 1 species